rnacentral:rRNA from 1 species
AUUGAACGCUGGCGGCAGGCCUAACACAUGCUAGUCGAGCUGAUGAAGUGAGCUUGCUCCUGGAUUCAGCUUCUGACUUUUUAGUAAUUCCUAGUAAUCUGCCUUGUAGUGUUUUAUAACGUCCUUAAACGGGCGCUAAUACCGCAUACGUCCUUAUUGAGAAAGUGUUGUUUCUUCUGACCUCACGCUAUCAUAUGUUCCUAGGUCGGAUUAGCUAGUUGGUGGGGUAAAGGCCUACCAAGGCGACUAUCCGUAACUGGACUGAGAGGAUUAUCAGUCACACUGGAAGUGAGACACGGUCCAGACUACUAAGGGAGGCAGCAGUGGGGAAAAUAGGAAAAUGGGCGAAAGAAUGAACCAGCCAUGCAGCGUGUGUGAAGAAGGUCUUCGGAUUGUAAAGCACUUUAAGUUGGGAGGAAGGGCAGUAAGUUAAUAACUUGCUGUUUUGACGUUACAAACAGAAUAAGCACCGGAUAACUUCGUG